AACGCACAUUGCGCCCGCCAGUAUUCUGGCGGGCAUGCCUGUCUGAGCGUCAUUUCAACCCUCAUGCCCCUAGGGCGUGGUGUUGGGGAUCGGCCAAAGCCCGCGAGGGACGGCCGGCCCCUAAAUCUAGUGGCGGACCCGUCGUGGCCUCCUCUGCGAAGUAGUGAUAUUCCGCAUCGGAGAGCGACGAGCCCCUGCCGUUAAACCCCCAACUUUCCAAGGUUGACCUCAGAUCAGGUAGGAAUACCCGCUGAACUUAA
rnacentral:misc_RNA from 4 species